GCACAUGCCUGGGGGACAGGGGGAGGAGGGGGAAGCCAAGAGUCAAGAAAACCAAAAAAAAAAAAAGAAUACAUAAUACUGGCACUAUUAUCGGUACAUCGAAUUGCGGGACAUGGGAACACACCCAUAGGAUAACCAAGCCUAACCUUAAGACCAAAGCACCUACGCUCCUUUCAUGCCAGGAGCUAGUUAACUAUGUCCAGCCUAUUAU